rnacentral:rRNA from 1 species
CAUGCAGUCGAACGGAAGGCCCUGCUUGCAGGGUACUCGAGUGGCGAACGGGUGAGUAACACGUGGGGGAUCUGCCCUGCACUUCGGGAUAAGCCUGGGAAACUGGGUCUAAUACCGGAUAGGAGCCAUUUUUAGUGUGAUGGUUGGAAAGUUUUUUCGGUGUAGGAUGAGCUCGCGGCCUAUCAGCUUGUUGGUGGGGUAAUGGCCUACCAAGGCGGCGACGGGUAGCCGGCCUGAGAGGGUGGACGGCCACAUUGGGACUGAGAUACGGCCCAGACUCCUACGGGAGGCAGCAGUGGGGAAUAUUGCACAAUGGGCGCAAGCCUGAUGCAGCGACGCCGCGUGGGGGAUGACGGCCUUCGGGUUGUAAACUCCUUUCGCUAGGGACGAAGCUUUUUGUGACGGUACCUAGAUAAGAAGCACCGGCUAACUACGUGCCAGC